GAUGAACGCUGGCGGCGUGCCUAAUACAUGCAAGUCGAGCGAACAGAUGAGGAGCUUGCUCCUCUGACGUUAGCGGCGGACGGGUGAGUAACACGUGGAUAACCUACCUAUAAGACUGGGAUAACUUCGGGAAACCGGAGCUAAUACCGGAUAAUAUAUUGAACCGCAUGGUUCAAUAGUGAAAGACGGUUUUGCUGUCACUUAUAGAUGGAUCCGCGCCGCAUUAGCUAGUUGGUAAGGUAACGGCUUACCAAGGCAACGAGGCGUAGCCGACCUGAGAGGGUGAUCGGCCACACUGGAACUGGGACACGGUCCAGACUCCUACGGGAGGCAGCAGUAGGGAAUCUUACGCAAUGGGCGAAAGCCUGACGGAGCAACGCCGCGUGAGUGAUGACGGUCUUCGGAUCGUAAAACUCUGUUAUUAGGGAAGAACAAAUGUGUAAGUAACUAUGCACGUCUUGACGGUACCUAGUCAGAAAGCCACGGCUAACUACGUG
rnacentral:rRNA from 1 species